UACAGAGGGGGCAAGCGUUGUUCGGAAUUACUGGGCGUAAAGGGCGCGUAGGCGGCCUGCUAAGUCGAACGUGAAAUCCCCGGGCUCAACCCGGGAACUGCGUCCGAUACUGGCAGGCUUGAGUUUGGGAGAGGGAUGCGGAAUUCCAGGUGUAGCGGUGAAAUGCGUAGAUAUCUGGAGGAACACCGGUGGCGAAGGCGGCAUUCUGGACCAUAACUGACACUGAGAGACGAAAGCCAGGGGAGCAAACGGG
rnacentral:rRNA from 1 species